AGUUGGUCCAAUGGUAGUGGGUUAUCAGAACUUAUUAACAUUAGUGUCACUGAAGUUGGUAUCCAACCCCCUCUGCUAAAUUUGGCUGACUUUGA
rnacentral:Y_RNA from 1 species